rnacentral:rRNA from 1 species
AAUGAACGUUGGCGGCGUGGAUUAGGCAUGCAAGUCGAGCGAGAACCGUAGCAAUACGGGGACAGCGGCGAAAGGGACAGUAAUGUGUAGGUACCUACCCCCGGGUUCGGGAUAGCUGCGGGAAACUGCAGGUAAUACCGAAUAAUGUCUUCGGACCAAAGGUGCGAUUCCACCUGGGGAGGGGCCUGCAUCCUAUUAGCUUGUUGGUGGGGUAACGGCUUACCAAGGCGACGAUGGGUAGCGGGUGUGAGAGCAUGACCCGCGUCAUUGGGACUGAGACACUGCCCAGACACCUACGGGUGGCCGCAGUCGAGGAUCUUCGGCAAUGGGCGCAAGCCUGACCGAGCGACGCCGCGUGCGGGAUGAAGGCCUUCGGGUUGUAAACCGCUGUCGUAGAGGAGGAAAUGCAGGAGGGUUCUCCCUUCUGUUUGACCUAUUCUAGGAGGAAGUACGGGCUAAGUUCGUGCCAGCCGCCGCGGUAA